UUAACUCAAAUUUGUAUGCAGUUGGAACAGCGCCCCUAGCGGCAAACGUAGGCAAACGUUCCAACUCCAUACAAAUUUGAUUUA
rnacentral:pre_miRNA from 1 species